rnacentral:rRNA from 1 species
AUUGAACGCUGGCGGCAGGCCUAACACAUGCAAGUCGAGCGCGAAAGUUCUUCGGAAUGAGUAAAGCGGCGGACGGGUGAGUAAUGCAUGGGAAUCUGCCUGGUAGUGGGGGACAACGUUUCGAAAGGAACGCUAAUACCGCAUACGCCCUACGGGGAAGGGGGGAGGUCUUCGGACCUCUCGCUAUCAGAUGAGCCCAUGUCAGAUUAGCUAGUUGGUGGGGUAAAGGCUCACCAAGGCGACGAUCUGUAACUGGUCUGAGAGGAUGAUCAGUCACACUGGAACUGAGACACGGUCCAGACUCCUACGGGAGGCAGCAGUGGGGAAUAUUGGACAAUGGGCGAAAGCCUGAUCCAGCCAUGCCGCGUGUGUGAAGAAGGCCUC